GAUGAACGCUAGCGGCAGGCUUAAUACAUGCAAGUCGAGGGGCAGCAGGACUGUAGCAAUACAGUUGCUGGCGACCGGCAAACGGGUGCGGAACACGUACGCAAUCUACCCAAAACUGGUGAAUAGCCCUCCGAAAGGAGGAUUAAUACACCGUAACUUAAUGAAGUGGCAUCGCUUUAUUAAUAUAGCUCCGGCGGUUUGGAUGAGCGUGCGCCUGAUUAGGUAGUUGGCGGGGUAAGUGGCCCACCAAGCCUGCGAUCAGUAACUGGUGUGAGAGCACGACCAGUCACACGGGCACUGAGACACGGGCCCGACUCCUACGGGAGGCAGCAGUAAGGAAUAUUGGUCAAUGGACGCAAGUCUGAACCA
rnacentral:rRNA from 1 species